CUUCCGUAGGGGAACCUGCGGAAGGAUCAUUACAGAAUGAAAAGUGCUUAACUGCAUUUUUUCUUACACAUGUGUUUUUCUUUUUUUGAAAACUUUGCUUUGGUAGGCCUUCUAUAUGGGGCCUGCCAGAGAUUAAACUCAACCAAAUUUUAUUUAAUGUCAACCGAUUAUUUAAUAGUCAAAACUUUCAACAACGGAUCUCUUGGUUCUCGCAUCGAUGAAGAACGCAGCGAAAUGCGAUAAGUAAUAUGAAUUGCAGAUAUUCGUGAAUCAUCGAAUCUUUGAACGCACAUUGCGCCCUUUGGUAUUCCAAAGGGCAUGCCUGUUUGAGCGUCAUUUCUCCCUCAAACCCUCGGGUUUGGUGUUGAGCGAUACGCUGGGUUUGCUUGAAAGAAAGGCGGAGUAUAAACUAAUGGAUAGGUUUUUUCCACUCAUUGGUACAAACUCCAAAACUUCUUCCAAAUUCGACCUCAAAUCAGGUAGGACUACCCGCUGAACUUAAGCAUAUCAAUAAGGCGGAGGAAAAAG
rnacentral:rRNA from 1 species